rnacentral:tRNA from 1 species
UCCCUGGCAGUCCAGAGGUUUAGACCUGGAACUUUCACUGCCAAGGGCCCAGGUUCAAUCCCUGGUCAGGGAA